rnacentral:lncRNA from 1 species
AAAGGAGAAGGAGAGGAUCAGAAGUGUGGGGGAAAAAGAUCUGCUGGGAGAGUCUGCUGUGCCUACCCAGGAAAACCCCACAGAUGCCCUGAAGACAACAAUCUCCAGGAAUGCGUUUGAAAUCAACCCUGCUUUCAAGUCAGUCAUGGAUUUUCAAUUUCAUAGAGAGUUCCUAAUGUAAACUGGAUGUUGGUGGCACACGCUUGCAAUCCCGGAACUAGGGCAGCUGAAGCAGAAGAUCUCAAGUGCCAGGCCAGCUUGGGCUACAUACCGAGACUGCAUCUCCAAAAACCAAAAUAAGAAAACCAAAGGGCAAACAUCUUCAGGUUAGCCCACCCA